rnacentral:rRNA from 1 species
AUUGAACGCUGGCGGCAGGCUUAACACAUGCAAGUCGAGCGGGGAAGGGUAGCUUGCUACCUAACCUAGCGGCGGACGGGUGAGUAAUGCUUAGGAAUAUGCCUAUUAGUGGGGGACAACAUUCCUAAAGGAAUGCUAUUACCGCAUACGCCCUACGGCGGCAAGCAGGGGAUCUUCGGACAUGGCUCUAAUAGAUGAGCCUAGGUCAGAUGAGCUCGUUGGUGUGGUAAAGGCAUACCAAGCCGACGAUCUGUAGCGGGUCUGAGAGGAUGAUCCGCCACACUGGGACUGAGACACGGCCCAGAGUCCUACGGGAGGCAGCAGUGGGGAAUAUUGGACAAUGGGCGAAAGCCUGAUCCAGCCAUGCCGCGUGUGUGAAGAAGGCCUUUUGGUUGUAAAGCACUUUAAGCGAGGAGGAGGCUACUGAGAUUAAUACUCUUGGAUAGUGGACGUUACUCGCAGAAUAAGCACCGGCUAACUCUGUGCCAGCCGCCGCCGUAA